GACCCUGGAAUCCUACCUGCCUGCAAAACCCCCACAAUUCUCUUGAUUGACCUCGGCUCACGUAGGAUACCCCUUCACUUAGCAC
rnacentral:rRNA from 1 species